rnacentral:tRNA from 2 species
GCGGCUGUGGCGGAAUUGGCAGACGCGCUAGGUUGAGGGCCUAGUGGGAGAUAAUCCCGUGGAAGUUCGAAUCUUCUCAGCCGCA